AUUUCACCGUUCCAACGACCGUAGACAGCGGGUGCGCAUUUUUGCGCUUAAUGUCUUGCCCGCCGAGGUCUGGAUGAGCGAAGAACGCAUGUAUUGCUGGUGUGUUCAGAACUCCCGGGCCCGGAGGGUCCGGGAGUUCUUUUAUGUAAGG
rfam:Synergistales bacterium 58_81 MPJ_scaffold_4360, whole genome shotgun sequence.